GACGAACGCUGGCGGCGUGCUUAACACAUGCAAGUCGAACGGUAAGGCCCUUCGGGGUACACGAGUGGCGAACGGGUGAGUAACACGUGGGUGAUCUGCCCUGCACUUCGGGAUAAGCCUGGGAAACUGGGUCUAAUACCGGAUAGGACCACUGCCUGCAUGGGUGGUGGUGGAAAGCUUUUGCGGUGUGGGAUGGGCCCGCGGCCUAUCAGCUUGUUGGUGGGGGGAUGGCCUACCAAGGCGACGACGGGUAGCCGGCCUGGGAGGGUGACCGGCCACACUGGGACUGAGAUACUGCCCAGACUCCUACGGGAGGCAGCAGUGGGGAAUAUUGCACAAUGGGCGCAAGCCUGAUGCAGCGACGCCGCGUGAGGGAUGACGGCCUUCGGGUUGUAAACCUCUUUCAGCACCGACGAAGCGCAAGUGACGGUAGGUGCAGAAGAAGGACCGGCCAACUACGUGCCAGCAGCCGCCGUAA
rnacentral:rRNA from 1 species